rnacentral:rRNA from 1 species
ACGGUUUCCUCUUCGAGGCACCUGCACAGGUGCUGCAUGGCUGUCGUCAGCUCGUGUCGUGAGAUGUUGGUUAAGUCCCGCAACGAGCGCAACCCUUAUCCCUAGUUGCCAUCAGGUAAAGCUGGGAACUCUGGGGAGACUGCCGGUGAUAAACCGGAGGAAGCGGGGAUGACGUCAAGUCCUCAUGGCCCUUACAUCCCGGGCUACACACGUGCUACAAUGGCAGGUACAGAGGGCUGCGAAGCCGCGAGGUGGAGCGAAUCCCAGAAAACCUGUCUCAGUCCGGAUUGAAGUCUGCAACUCGACUUCAUGAAGGCGGAAUCGCUAGUAACCGCGAAUCAGCAGGUCGCGGUGAAUACGUUCCCGGGCCUU